rnacentral:tRNA from 1 species
GGAGGAUUAAGCAUAACUGGUACUGCGGCGGUCUUGAAAACCGUUCACGUGAAAGCGUGUGAGAGUUCGAGUCUCUCAUCUUCCGCCA